rnacentral:lncRNA from 1 species
UCACUCUGCUGAGAGGAACAUCUGAGUUUCUUCCUCUCUGUGUGUGUCUCUCUCCUCUCUCUCCUCCCUUCCUCCCUCCCUCCUUCUCUUUCUUUUCUCUGAGGAACAGUGUUAGUAUUCCGUGGUACACACUUAAGCAAAACCUGAGAAAGGAAUUAAUCUGUCACUAGGAAUGAAUGCACUGGACAGUGAUUUAUGCAGAUGCUCUACUCAAAGUGAUGGCGCUCAUUUCAUCUGUACUUCUCACAGCCCUUCUUAGAGGCAGCACACAAAAUCGCAUUUAAAAUAACGUUGCAGCUGGGUGACUGGGCAGGGUGCAAAGCCCUGCUGCCCUGCAAGAGCCCCCAGACAAACCCAGCAGAAGGGCAGGCAGGCAGCUUAGGCAGCAGGAUAGGGUACUGGAAUUUCCAAAUCCAUGACCUCUGUACUCUUUAGCUCUGACGAAGAAGCUGAUCCAAGGAUUCUCUGUGAGCACAAGUUCCAUUCCCCUUUCUCCUCUGAAGCCUAGACUGAGAAAUACUCCCAGUGUUCCACUGGCCUUUGCGUCUCUUCCACAGCCCUCAGCGCUUUGAGAUUCUGGUCAUAACCAGGGAAAGAUUCAUUAGGGCUGGCAUUUCUACUUGCUGGCUGGCUAGCUCCUACACUGUUUUCUGGCAGCAAGGCUGAGAGGCUCCCUCGAGGGCUUAUUUUCCUGAAAUUCCCCCUGUAGUUUUACAUGCAUAAGUGGGCUGGAUGAGGUUGUGAGAAACAGCCUAGCUUUUGAACGCUAAUCUGAAUCAAAAUUCCAAAUCUCUUGAAGUUCAAGCUAUCAGUAGAAGAAAUCCGAAGUAAACAAGCCUCUCACCACCUCCCCACCCAAUCUAGCCACCUCCUGGCUCAGGCCAGCCUCCUCCUCAGAGCCUAGAAGGCUCUUGUGUUCCACUCUUAGACUUGUAGGCAGCAGGCAAGACUUGGGGCCCUAUUUUCCUGGGCAUGCAGGUUACUGCAACGCUUCUUUUGCUAUUGUGCUUCUGAUUACUAGUAUUUUUCCCACUCCCUCUUGCUGUCUGGAGAUUCAUCUGGGAUUUAUCUCCAUAAUGAGAAAAGGGAGAUAGAAAACACUGGGGCAUUUUUCUCUGACUUAGAUUAUUUGUCAUUUUGAAAUUCAUUUUAAAGGAUGCUUUUCAAAUAUUUAAAUGUAUGUGUGCUCACAUCACAGUUCCUCAGGAUGAAUUGCAGAUGACACAAUCACUACUUUAUCUCUUGCAUGCUCUAGGCCUCUCUCCUGAACUGGUUGCCAGCAAUGACUUGACCAGAAGAAAAAAAAAAAAAAAAGCAAAGAACGAUAGGCUAGAAAGAGUAGGAAUUCAGAUCUCAAAUAGUAGUUUUCUUCUUUUUUGUUCAGAGAUCCUAACCUGGUUUCUAUAUCAUCUCUAGGAUGCCUUUAACGUACUGUGGUUGACAGGUAACACAACUUAAACUUUAUUAAUCUAAGUAUGUGAUGUUUCCCUCUCCCCAUAGAGACAUGCACUUCACAGAAUAGAAACAGCUAAUUAAGAUCCUCUUUCCACUUUUCCAAGUUCUGGCUCAAGAUACUAGAGGUAGGAAAGAGAAUAAGCCCCAUCUAUAAACCAACUCCCACUUUAUUGAUAGUGGAUGAAGGAGAGCAUGUGUAAGUUUAACUAGGCAGGCAGUGAACAGAAUUGGAAACACAGAAUGUUAAAAGAUCCAAGACCAAUUAUUCCAAGUUUGGUGCUUCUGUGUAGAAGAGCCUAAGAGAAGAUUAAGAACCCAUAUUACUAAAGCACAUAGUCUGAUUCAGGAGCAAAUGAGCACGAGAAUCUUAAAAAGGCAGUUUCAUAAAAAGGCAUAUCUUUUUUCUUCAGCAAAUAUUUAUUGAGUGCCUGUGUGCCUGCAGCUGCACUGGGUAUUGUAUUUAAGAUGGAUAAUAAAUAUAAGAUUCCUGGGGGAGUUUCUGUUGUGGCACAACAGGUUAAGGCUGUGGCAUUGUCUCUUCAGUGGCUUGAGUUUGAUCUCCAGCCCAGCACAUUGGGUUAAGGAUCCAGCAUUGCCACAGCUGUGGUGUAGUUUUCAACUGCAUCUUGGAUUUGAUCCCUGGCCUGGGAACUUCCAUAUGUUGUGGGUGUGGCCAAAAAAUAAUAAGACUCAUGGUUAAACAGGAUUUAACUGGAGCGGGAUUAAAGAGAUAUAAAAGGAGGGGGUAGCAAAUCAUAAAAAGCAGUAGCCAAAGAUAUGUGGGUCAGGGAUUUAGAGAGCCAGAUCCUGGUCUCUACUGGAGAUGGAACCAGAUAGAGCAGGGUGAACAGUGUCAGCUACUUUAAAACUCUAAGACAAAGGAGACAAAGAUGCACUCUCUCUCACCACUCCAUGGUGGCUCCAGAAAGGGCAACCUUGAUUAAUCCUGUGUCAUGGCAUUAAAAGGGGUCAUUUUAGGGCAAGAUAAUGGAGGUCCUGUGACCUGCAUUAUUAGACAGAAAAUUACAGAUUUGAGAAGAAAAUUACAGAUUUCUCCCAUACAAAUGACAUAUUUCCCAGAGCAGCCUAACUUCCUGGAAAUCAUAGACAUACCAAAAUCAUAGAAAUUCUGUAGAAACACCAAUUCUCAUGUCAAUUAACUUCAGUAACUAUUCAUCUCAUGCUUAUUUGGUGCAAGGUGCUAUGCAGGAUACUGAAGCUUUAUGGUGGCUGUGGUGACUUUCGCAUACUCACCACACUAGCAGUUUUUCUUGACAACUCAUCCAGCUCUAUCUCAUCCUUAAUUCUCAUAUUUAUUCUAUUGAGAGCAAUGGGCCAUCAGGCCAUACUUGUCUUAUCAGCUGCAUGCCCAGUUCUAUGUGUGACUCUGAGCAAGCGACAAAAAUAGAGACAAUGCAGUUUCUCUACUCAAGGAGAUUACUUUGCAUCUCAGGAGACAAGAGAUAAUUACAUAAUAAAACUACAGAAUGAUCAAGAUAGUGUAUAACUUAGGUUCUGAACUGUGUGGUAUGGCCUUGCAUGAAUUGGGUUCUAAGAAAUGUAACAGUUUUUGAGAUAAGGGCAGUAAAAAUAGAGCCACAGAGAUGGAUGAUGAUGGAUGAUGAGGAAGAGGGCAUAUGCAAGGUAUCCUUAACUCUGCAUGGAAUAUUUUCUUUCACUUCUCCAUUGUUCUAAAUCUAGUUCAUUGGCUUUCCCUAAAAAUCUUAUUCAUUGUUUCUCUAUCAGAGUUUGAAUUUUUGAGGACAGUCUCUCUUCCAUCUUUAGUCACCUUUACAUCCCCUAUUACCUUUUGCACUGGACCUGAUGAGCAGCAGAUAUUCAGUGAAUACUUGGUGGCUGAAAGAUUAAUGGUAUUCUGUAUCCUUCAAAGCAGUCCAAGAAAGAGUGAUUUCCUAAUAAAUGUUCUCUGAAUUGAAUUGAUAAAUCACCUGAUCACCUCCCUGAACCAUGGUCUUGGUGACAGUGAAAGGCUGAGUCUGAUAGACAGCUUUAGGAACAGAAGAUGGUCCUCACAGAUCCAAGAAGGCAAGCUAAAGGUUAGGGAGGUUGGAAAGGCAAUGCACACUUUCAGCAAAGCAGUAGGGGUUGAGAAAGCAGCUGGUAUUUUGAGUGGAAGUGGUCUACUCUGGGUUCUUUGCUCUUAUGUGCUCAUGUUUUCAUUUUCACAGGGCUGGUUUAUGGUAACUGCACCAUCUAUCAGAUAAUGAUAGAUGUACUGCAUCAUCUAUCAGAUAUACAUAUAUGUAUAUAUAUGUACAACAUAUGUACAUUUGUUUGUAUACUACACACACACACACACACACACAUAGAUACACACACAGACACACACUCACUGUUUAUAUAACCCUCAAACAACACAGGUGAGGGAGGGCAGGCUUUAAAGUUAUAUGCAGAUUUUAGAUUGUGUGGAGGAUCACUGCCCCUAACUUCCACAUUGUUCAAAUGUCUAUAUAUAUAAAUGUCUAUAUAUAAAGAGAAUAUAUAUAUAUUCUCUUUAUGAUUUGCUAUACCCUUAUUUCAUAUCUCUUUACCCUCAUUGAGAGUUUAAUCAAGGAGUCUUAUCUUUAUUUUCUAUCUAUAUAUCUCAUUUAUUCUAGUUAUACUCUGACUUGUUUUAGGGAUGGCACUCUGGUUUCCUUAAAGAUUUUUACUCACUAGAAUUCCCAGAUUAAUAAUAGGGAGAUCUUUAUGCUUUUAAUAGUUAUUUGACUAUUUGAGAGUGAUAUCUAGACUUCCUUUAUACAACCACUUAUAAUACCCUCAGGUACACCAAAAAGAACCCUGUAUCUACAGUCUGUACUUUUCAUAUCCCUCCACUUCUUCCUUAAUCUUCACUAAGAUGGAAGACAAGCCCUGGGAGCACUCUCAUACCAGGGGCUUGACACAAGCUUCUUAGUUGUCCCUUACUGGAGCUGCUGAAGGGCGCAGGAGCUGAGUAUGCUCUCAGCGAUUCUCAAGGUGGGGUUGCUUUUAGCAUUUAUGGUUGGCGAGGACCACACCUCACAUUGCAGGGCAUAUGGCAUUCCUAGUUUCUAAAUACUGGCAGAAGUCUUAAGUUACCAUGAUGAUAAAAAAUGCUCCCAUAUAUUUCUAAACACUCUCAGAAAAAUGUACCGGUCUUUGUUUAAAAUGAUGGAAUGACUGAGGCUGUUGUUAGAAUGACUGUGCAAAGCCUCCUUUCUUUCCGGUUGCUAAUACUGGGUGGUAGAAUUCUCAUCCCUGAGAUGCCUCACGUGGUGACUUUGCGUCUACCGGUACAAAGAGGAAUGGAGCCUUUUUAAGCACACUGUAGACCUUCUGAGACAAUUCAGAGAGGCAGCGUGGGGAGCCAUGCCAACAGACACAGAUGGGGAGGAACACCAGCCUUGUCAUCUGAUUUACCACUUACACAUUGUCUUCAGUGUACCCUUUACUGUAUUCAAUCUGGUUGCCUAACCCCCCUAAACACAGUGUUUGUCUUUCUGCCACAUCUUUAUUAUCCUAGAUUUAUUCCAUUCCUGGCAAUGUUAAAACCUCUAAACUCCUAUGAGAAGUUGCAGAACCAAAGAGAUUUGUGCAAUCAACUGGCACAGUCUAGAAUGUUUCAAAAGGCUUGACAACAUUAGUAUUAUGGUUACCACUGGUAUUUAUUUUAUCCUGUGCCAGGAUGUACAUUAAAAUAUUUGUACCAGCUUGAUACUGUAGAAAGACUAAGACUUGGAAGACCUCAGUCUCCUGCUUCUAGGUUCUGGGUCCUGCCACCAACUAGCUGGGUAGCCUUGGACAAGUCAUUUCCCUUAUCUGGGCUUUACUUGCUACAUAGGAAAAAAUAUGGACUGGACUCUUGGAAAUUCAUAUAUAUAAAUUCUCUUAAUAUGAAUAAUAAAAAAACAUAGAGCACUUUGAUGGAUUAAAGUUAAACUUAAUGAAGUAGUCCAUGAAUCCCAAGCUGCAAACAUAAACUGCCCAUUUUUUUAUCCCCUCCUUCCUUACCUCCUCCAACCCCCAGCAUCAGAAUGAUGGACUGUGUUGACAGAAUCUAGAACUAAGUCUUAGAUGAAUGCAUGUGCAGAGAUUGCAGUUGUGGUUCUGUGCUACACAUUGAGGAUGGUCACCCUCCUAGUCCAGCCUGAUCAUUAACUAGCAAUGAGAUGACUAGAAAGGUCCUAUUUUGUGCAUUUGUUUAACCACUUUUUUUUUCUCUUUAGUGCCACACUCAUGGCAUUUGGAAGUUCCCAGGCAAGGAUUCAAAUUGGAGCUGCAGCUGCUGACCUACACCACAACCACAGAAACACAGGAUCUGAGCCAUGUCUAUGACCUACACCACAGCUCAUGGCAACAUUGGAACUUUAUCCCACUCAGUGGGGCCAAGGAUCAAACUCAUAUCCUCGUAGAUACUAGUUGGGUUUGUUACCGCUGAGCCACAAUGGGCACUCCUGUCUAACCACUUUUAUUGAGCCUAUUGUAUAUUAGGCACCAUGGAUUCAAAAUUGAUUAAGAAUAAAUUUUUGGAGUUUCCGUCAUGGCAUAGCAGAGGCAAGUCUGACUAGGAACCAUGACAUUGUGGGUUCGAUCCCUGGCCUCACUCAGUGGGUUAGGGAUCUGGUGUUGCCAUGAGCUGUGGUGUAGGUCGCAGAUGUGGCUCAGAUCUGUCAAUGCUGUGGCUGGGGCAUAGGCCAGCAGCUGUGGUGAUGCUAUGGCUGGGGCGUAGGCCAGCAGCUGUAGCUCUGAUUCAACCCCUAGCCUGGGAACCUCCAUAUGCCCCAGGUGC